rnacentral:rRNA from 1 species
GACGAACGCUGGCGGCGUGGAUUAGGCAUGCAAGUCGAACGGUAUCAUCCUUUCGGGGGUGAGAGAGUGGCGAACUGGUGAGUAACACGUAGGUUAUCUACCCUCAAGACGGGGACAACCCAGGGAAACUUGGGCUAAUACCGGAUGUGAGCAACUUUUAGUUGUUUGAAAGGUGGCGUAAGCUGUCGCUUGGGGAUGAGCCUGCGUCCUAUUAGUUAGUUGGUGAGGUAACGGCUCACCUAGGCAAUGAUAGGUAGGCGGCCUUAACGGGUGGUCGCCCACACUGGGAUUGAGAUACGGCCCAGACUCCUACGGGAGGCAGCAGUCGAGAAUAGUCUACAAUGGUCGGAAGACUGAUAGUGCGACGCCGCGUGAACGAUGAAUCCCUUCGGGGUGUAAAGUUCUUUUAUAUGUGAGCAGUGCUUCUUAUAUUUAACAGUAUGGGGAGAGAGAUAUUAGCAUAUGAAUAAGCAACGGCUAACUCCGUGCCAGCAGCCGCGGUAAA